rnacentral:lncRNA from 1 species
UGAGAAUGAAGGAUUAAAUUAUCUGUGUUGUUGAAAUUUGGAUGGUGAAACACAACCAGUUGUUUAUUUUUUCCUUUAGAUAAUUAUAAGGACCAAUGAUAAUGCCUUCACUUGUGUGUAUACACUAUUUCUUGAAAAAACUAGAUGAGGUUAGAGCCUCAACUAGAAUUUAUUGUUUUUUGAUUUGAUGAAAUAAUUUUUUUUAAGGUCUUCAAGGUCAGAUACACUCAUAUGCAUAACUCUUUUGAUGGUUUUAUGAACCCUUUCAUAAGUAUCUGACCAUCUCCAGAUCAUGUUGGUUGAUUUAUAGCUUAUGAAUACAUGUUACAUUUCUGUGUUAACAGUUUAUAAAAUAUUGUUUCAGAUUUCAUUCUUGUAUUGAACUGUUCUUGAACGGGAUAUUCAUUCUUAAGCUAGAGUGUUUACUGGUUACCUAAAUAUAAAGCUUUUAUAGCCCAU